rnacentral:rRNA from 1 species
GCAAGUCGAACGGUAACAGCGGAGCUUGCUCCGGCUGACGAGUGGCGGACGGGUGAGUAAUGCAUAGGAAUCUACCCAGUAGCGGGGGACAACUUGGUGAAAACCAAGCUAAUACCGCAUACGCCCUACGGGGGAAAGCAGGGGAUCUUCGGACCUUGCACUAUUGGAUGAGCCUAUGUCUGAUUAGCUAGUUGGUGGGGUAAUGGCCUACCAAGGCAGCGAUCCGUAGCUGGUCUGAGAGGAUGAUC